GAUGAACGCUGGCGGCGUGCCUAAUACAUGCAAGUCGAGCGAACAGACGAGGAGCUUGCUCCUCUGACGUUAGCGGCGGACGGGUGAGUAACACGUGGAUAACCUACCUAUAAGACGGGGAUAACUUCGGGAAACCGGAGCUAAUACCGGAUAAUAUAUUGAACCGCAUGGUUCAAUAGUGAAAGACGGUUUUGCUGUCACUUAUAGAUGGAUCCGCGCCGCAUUAGCUAGUUGGUAAGGUAACGGCUUACCAAGGCGACGAUGCGUAGCCGACCUGAGAGGGUGAUCGGCCACCCUGGAACUGAGACACGGUCCAGACUCCUACGGGAGGCAGCAGUAGGGAAUCUUCCGCAAUGGGCGAAAGCCUGACGGAGCAACGCCGCGUGAGUGAUGAAGGUCUUCGGAUCGUAAAACUCUGUUAUUAGGGAAGAACAAAUGUGUAAGUAACUAUGCACGUCUUGACGGUACCUAGUCAGAAAGCCACGGCUAACUACGUG
rnacentral:rRNA from 1 species